rnacentral:tRNA from 1 species
GUGGUCGUAGCUCAACGGUAGAGCCCUGGAUUGUGGUUCCAGUUGUUGCGGGUUCGAAUCCCGUCGGCCACCCCA